GUUUCGAUAGAAAAUUCGUACCUUGAUCCGUUUGCACUACCUUCGGUAAGCCGAAUGUGGAAAAGAAUUUCACCAACGCUUUGCUGACCACAGGUGCCGUGAUUUUCCUCAAAGGAAUCGCCUCUGGAAACCUGGUAUUCACACACAUGAUAGUUAACAGAAACUGAUUACCAUUCUUAGUCUUAGGUAAUGGGCCAACACAGUCAACAAGCACAUGUUCAAAUGGUUCUCCAAUCGCCGGUAUUGGAGUCAAAGGAGCAAGUGGUAUACUCUGGUUUGGUUUUCCCACAAUCUGACAAGUGUGACAGGUACGGCAGUAUUGGGCAACAUCUUUCUUUAAUCCUGGCCAGAAGAAAUGACUCAAAAUUCUGUUAUAGGUCUUAGUAACUCCUAAAUGACCAGAAAGCUGGUGAUCAUGAGCCAGAAACAAGACAUGUUGACGAUAAGGAGACGGAACCACAACUUGAUAAACAACAUUCCAAUCUAAGUUUUCAUCAACAUGAGAACACCAUUUCCUCAUCAGUAGUUCAUUCUCAAUGAAUGAUAAUUUUCUCACGAGAUACAGUCAAAAGUGGAAACAUGAAUGAGCUAGACAGAUCCACUACAUCACCCACUCUGCGCGACUGAGCGCAUGUGACAGCGC